rnacentral:rRNA from 1 species
CCCUUAGAUGUUCUGGGCCGCACGCGUGCUACACUGAGUGGAUCAGCGGGUCAGGUUGCGCGAAAGCGUUUCCUAAUCUUUAAAUCCGCUCGUGAUGGGGAUUGACGGUUGCAAUUUUCUGUCAUGAACGAGGAAUACCUUGUAAGCGCGGGUCAUCAUCCCGCGCUGAAUACGUCCCUGCCCUUUGUACACACCGCCCGUCGCUCCUACCGAUUGAGUGUUCCGGUGAAUUAUUCGGACUGCAACAGUUAUCUGUCGCGGAAAGUCUUGUGAACCUUAACACUUAGAGGAAGGAAAAGUCGUAACA